AUUGAACGCUGGCGGCAGGCUUAACACAUGCAAGUCGAACGAGUGGCGGACGGGUGAGUAAUGCUUGGGAAUCUAGCUUAUGGAGGGGGAUAACUACGGGAAACUGUAGCUAAUACCGCGUACCAUAGGAUGAGCCCAAGUGGGAUUAGGUAGUUGGUGAGGUAAAGGCUCACCAAGCCGACGAUCUCUAGCUGGUCUGAGAGGAUGACCAGCAAAACUGGAAUUGAACCAGGGCCCAAACUCCGACAGGAGGCAGCAGUGGGGAAUAUUGCGCAAUGGGGGAACCUGACGCAGCCAUGCCGCGUGAAUGAAGAAGGCCUUCGGGUUGUAAAGUACUUUCGGUAGCGAGGCGUUAACUACAGAAGAAGCACCGGCUAACUCCGUGCCAGCCGCCGCGGUAAUUC
rnacentral:rRNA from 1 species